AUUGAACGCUGGCGGCGUGCCUAACACAUGCAAGUCGAGCGGUAACAGGUGUAGCAAUACAUGCUGACGAGCGGCGAACGGGUGAGUAAUGCUUCGGAAUCUACCCAAUGGUGGGGAAUAACCAGCCGAAAGGUUGGCUAAUACCGCAUACGUCCCACGGGAGAAAGCAGGGGAUCGCAAGACCUUGCGCCAAUGGAUGAGCCGAAGUCGGAUUAGCUAGNGGUAGGGUAACGGCCUACCAAGGCGACGAUCCGUAGCUGGUCUGAGAGGACGACCAGCCACACUGGGACCGAGACACGGCCCAGACUCCUACGGGAGGCAGCAGUGGGGAAUAUUGGACAAUGGGGGAAACCCUGAUCCAGCGACGCCGCGUGUGUGAAGAAGGCCUGCGGGUUGUAAAGCACUUUUUAGUGGGGAUGAAAUGUUCAGGUUACACCUCUGGAUUUUGACCUAACCACAGAAAAAGCACCGGCUAACUCUGUGCCAGCAGCCGCCGUAAU
rnacentral:rRNA from 1 species